AUGUUCCAGAGGGACAAUGAUCCCAGAGGACCGCUCGCAGCAGCAACCUCAACUCAAACCUUAAACUCUUCCUUUUUUACUUUUCCUCUGCAUCAGCGUAGCGCCAUUUUGGAGAGUAUCCACGUCCAGCUCCACACUGAUGCAGAGGAGACAAAUUGUUCUUUUUUUUGUUUUCUUUGUGAACAAAAAGUAUUCUUGUUUCUUCCUAAAAUUCAGAUUGAACCACUGGUAGCUGUUUUGGACUGUUUUAACGAUGUCUUUCAUACUUUUCUGGACCUUGACACUGUUAUUUACUUGGAAGUCUAUGGGACAGUCACAAGCCUCUCUGUUUUCAUCCAAAAUAUCUUAAAUUGUGUUCUGAAGAUGAACAAAGCUUUUACGGGUUUGGAACGACAUGGGGGUAAGUGAUUAAUGACAAAAUUUUCAUUUUGGGGUAGAAUAAACCUUUAAUGAUGAACUUAUCAUUUACAAAACAUUCAUAAGCGAUUAAGAAGUGAUUUGUGUACAAUUUGUGUAUGUUUUGUUAAUUCAUUUACAAGUAAUUAGUGAAUGAUGAACUAAUCAUUUACAAAACAUGACUAUGUGUUCGUAAAUGAUUAAGAAGUGAUAUGUUAAUAUUUUUAUCUAUGUUUUGUAGAUUAAGUUAAAAAAAUAAAAAUAAAAGUGAUUAGAUGAUGAUGAACUUAUCAUUUACAAAACAAUAGGUUCACAAAUGAUUAAAUAAUAUGCUAAAGAUUUACAAUUCUGUCUUAAGUUAUCAAAAAAUAGCAUCAUGAAAUAAUCAAACAGAUUCUUAGUAAUUGGUUAAUAGUUCCUAGUUAAUAUAUUAUUAAUCACUUAGAAAUCAUUGACAUGUCAGCAUUGUACUAGUAUCUCAAUAAACAUUUAUUAAUCAUGAACAAAUGAUGAUUAAACCAUUAGUAAAUGAUCAGUAUAUAAUUUAUGUAUGUUUUGUUAAAGUUGUAAGCUGGUCUGUUAAAAAGCCCACAAAUGCAAUUAUGCUAAAACAGUAAAUAUAUAUUUUUUAAAAGAAUAAUAAAUGAUUUGCUGUCAAGUGAAUAAACGUGUAAAUGAUUUACAGUUAGGGGAUUCCAGUGGGUUUUCUCUCAGCACAGACUUGUGUUCUGUGUGAAGUGUUAGGGAUCUAGUGAAAGUGUUUUACCUUCCACUGAAGAUCACACCAGGGGCACAGUGUUGAUGAGUAAAACAUUUACAACUGAUGAGUAGUUUACACUUUAGAUUAGGGGAUGCAGAACGUGUUGUAAAUGAUUUAUUCAUGCGUUUACACAACAGGUUUUGAAUACUUUGUAGUGUGUACUGCAAUGUAAGGGGUGAGUGGUGAGGGUUAGACAGAUGUCUUCUCUGACACACAUGAAGUAUUUUUAACGCUGGGAGAUAAUAGUACAAUGUUGACAUUUCGACGAUUUAUAAGUGAUUAAUAAUAUAUUAACUAGUAACUUAUUAACUAUUUACUAAGGAUUUGUUUGAUUAUUUCAUAAUAUGCUAUUUUUUAAGAUAAUUUACAACAGAUUUGUAAAUCGUUAGCAUAUUAGUUCAUAAUCAUUUGAGAAUGUAAAGUCAUGUUUUGUAAAUGAAUAGUUCAUCAUUAUCUAAUCAAUAGAUUUAUAACUGAAUCUAUACAAAAUACAGAUAAAAAUAUUAGCAUACCACAUAUGAAUCAUUUAUGAACACAUAGUUAUAUUUUGUAAAUGAUUAGUUCAUCAUUAGCUAAUCACUUAUAAAUGACUUACAACUGAACGUUAUUAUAAAGUGUUACCAAAAAAAAUUAAUUAAUUAAUUAAUUAAUUUUAAAAAAAGUUCUACUGUCUGGGGCCAGCAGUCAGGUUAAAGUGGGUGUUUUACAACAUUUGUUUAACAGUAUUUUAAUGUAAAAUUAUGUUAAAUGUCAAGUUAGAUGUAUUCCAUUUUUUAACCAUACAUAGUAAAGUAACUUACUUUUAACCAAUAAUUAUUAUUUUAAUUUAUUUUUUAAUUGUAGCAUUUACAGUCGUUUACUGUUAAAAUUAAGAUUUUAUUUAUUUAUUUAUUUAUUUAUUUAUUUAUUUAUUAGUAUAGCACUAUGAAUUGUAAUAGGAUCUGUACCCACGCAUACUAUUUCAAAGCUCUAUAAUCUUCAGCUGGCAGUACUGGAGGUCUGCAGGUAACUGCUGCAAGCUUUGUGAAUGGCACAGUCCAUGAUUACAGUUGAAACAUGGAUAAUUGAAAUGUGUCUGAAUAGCAGUUAGGGUAAAACUUAUGCUCUCUUUGUUAUUCAAGUGUCAAGGCAUGGGAACAAUUUUCAAUUAAACUCUGUGGAUUGUGGCCAACAAACGGGAGAAGACUUGAAGGCUAACUACAGGCCUGACACUUGUCUGAGGAGGGAAGAUUGAUGGCGGCACUUUUAACAUUUUAGAAGGGGCUCACCCUCCGUUAAAAAGGUGGCACUGAGGGAAAUGUCACCAAAUGAAAGCAGUCAGCUCGGAAAUCCUCAGUGGAACAACAGCAACAUCGAUCCUACAAACUCAGGAAACAAGAGUGGGCUUAGAAAAGCCAAAGACCAACACAAGGGACCCUAAGUCUCUGGAUUAAACCGAGGCUGAAAUAAUAAAGCUUUUACAGCCUUAAACACAGAGCCAUGAACAACAUCACAGCUCUGAUCCAAAACCUGUUCUUGGGCAGAUACUAGCCAUAGUUAUAUUCUUUCUGUCAAACUCCAUGUUCAGAUACACAACAAUACAAGCAUCAUUUAGCUGAAGAGUUUAUGGAAAUGACUCUCAUUGAUAUAUGGAGAUGAGAGACAUGCGGAACAACAAAUUUGAGCACAAGUGAACUCACAGAUGCCAUAAGAGGUGACUUCAUUAUCAUAACCUAUUAGUUUUUCUUUGCACAUAAUUCACAGAGAGUGUAAACCAGAUUUGAAAAGUGGAUAUUUAUGCAGUCACCAUAAGAAGAUUACCUGAGAGAUGUUUAUAUCUGCAUCCACAUUGUAUAUUAAGGAAGCAAUUUGAUUGAAUUUGGCAAAGUCCAAAGCUCAUGUGUUUUGAAACCUGCUACACUCACUGCUGUGAUUUUAUGGUUUUGUCGUGAAUUAAUAGCAACGUGGCGCCAUCUAGUGGAAAACACGAAUAAGAGCACUUUGGCAACACAAGAACCAGUUCAUUCUGCCAUUAUUUACACCAUAGUGUUGUUCCAAAACACACACACACACACACACAUAUAUAUAUAUAUAUAUCCUUUCUAGUGGAACACAAUAGAAGAAAUUGUUGAGAAUCUUAACAUAGCAUAGAGAGACGUUAAAUAAUUUGUGCUCUUUUCGUAAGACAAUUAAAUCAUUUAGAGAUGUAGGGUUCAUAAAGGUCAUAUAGCCUUAGUCUAUCUUACUGAGCACAGUGUCUACAUUUAUGUAUGCAUGUAUGUAUUUAUUUUACAGCAGGAGCAGUAUAUGGUACAAAAUUUUGCUUCACUUUGAGACAUA
ensembl:lncRNA